CAAGGGCCCAGAUGUGGUUCUCUUUUUUUCUCUAUCUUCCUCUCCAUGCGUGUCUCAUUCUCAGGUCUACCAAUUGAAUGAUGAUGGAAAAUGGGAUGAUCAAGGUUAGGCAUGUCACUCUUGACAAUUUGGAGGAGACUCGAACAACUAGAAAGAAAAGUAGAUGAAAAGCAGUGGAAAGGCAUAACUGAGUUGUAACAUUGUGUCAAAUGUAGGAUUUGUAGGAAAUUUCUGAGGUAAUCAAACUAUACCUACAUAAGCCUUCUUUCUUCCAGCCACUGCUUAACUGGUAUAACUUUAUCAUUUUCAUCCUUCCACUCAUUAGCCACCACAGUUGCUAUGCGGUUUGCUGAAACUUUUGCUCUUGCAAGUUCUCGCUCUAGAGUGCUCUUUUCCUCCUGAAUUUUUUACUCAAAUGAGCAUUGACUGCAACUCCUCCAGCUAGAACAACCUCCUAAAGUUCUUGAAUGGUUUGGCUAAGCUUUUCCAGCUGAUAAAGUUAUAAUUAGCUAAGCAAAUGGACUCACAACAAAGACAAGUGCACAAAGGAUGAUGAAUUGAAGGAUGGAGCAAGUUUCGUUUACUUUUGUGUAUCUUGUAAUGUUUCUAUUUUUCAUUUUUGAAGUAAAAAUUGUUCAAGAUUAUAAAACUUUAUUAUGUUAUGCUUUCAAACUUAAGUUAGAACUAAGAUCUCAUGAAGUAGACACAUUCAUGGUUUGAAUUAGUUAUUGUUUAAUGUAAUACUUAUGGUUUAUCAA